rnacentral:misc_RNA from 2 species
CUGCCCUCAAGCACGGCUUGUGUGUUGGGCCCCGUCCUCCUUCCGGGGGACGGGUCCGAAAGGCAGCGGCGGCACCGCGUCCGGUCCUCAAGCGUAUGGGGCUUUGUCACUCGCUUUGUAGGCCUGGCCGGCGCUUGCCGAUCAACCAAACUUUUUAUCA